rnacentral:rRNA from 1 species
GAAGACCUAGUGGCGAACGGGUGAGUAACACGUGAGGAACCUGCCCCGAAGACCGGGAUAACCCUCCGAAAGGAGAGCUAAUACCGGAUACCCCCAUUUGAUCGCAUGAUCGGAUGAGGAAAUGGAUUCCGCUUCGGGAGGGCCUCGCGGCCUAUCAGCUUGUUGGCGGGGUAACGGCCCACCAAGGCAUCGACGGGUAGCUGGUCUGAGAGGACGAUCAGCCACACUGGGACUGAGACACGGCCCAGACUCCUACGGGAGGCAGCAGUGGGGAAUCUUGCGCAAUGGGCGAAAGCCUGACGCAGCAACGCCGCGUGGGGGAUGAAGGCUCUCGGGUUGUAAACCCCUUUCAGCAGGGACGAACUAAGACAGUACCUGCAGAACAAGCCCCGGCUAACUACGUGCCAGCAGCCGCGGUAACACGUAUGGGGCAAGCGUUGUCCGGAUUUAUUGGGCGUAAAGAGCUCGUAGGCGGCUCGGUAAGUCGGGUGUUAAAUCCCCAGGCUCAACCUGGGACACCACCCGAUACUGCUGUGGCUAGAGUCCGGUAGGGGAGCGUGGAAUUCCUGGUGUAGCGGUGAAAUGCGCAGAUAUCAGAGAACACCAGCGGCGAAGCGGCGCUCUGGGCCGAACUGACGCUGAGACGAAGCGUGGUAGCAACAGGAUUAGAUAACCCUGGUAGUCCACGCCGUAAACGUUGGGCACUAGUGUUGGGGUCUA